rnacentral:rRNA from 1 species
GACGAACGCUGGCGGCGUGCUUAACACAUGCAAGUCGAACGGAAAGGCCCCCUUGUGGGGUACUCGAGUGGCGAACGGGUGAGUAACACGUGAGUAACCUACCCUUGACUUUGGGAUAACUUCAGGAAACUGGGGCUAAUACCGGAUAGGAGCUCCUGCUGCAUGGUGGGGGUUGGAAAGUUUCGGCGGUUGGGGAUGGACUCGCGGCUUAUCAGCUUGUUGGUGGGGUAGUGGCUCACCAAGGCUUUGACGGGUAGCCGGCCUGAGAGGGUGACCGGCCACAUUGGGACUGAGAUACGGCCCAGACUCCUACGGGAGGCAGCAGUGGGGAAUAUUGCACAAUGGGCGGAAGCCUGAUGCAGCAACGCCGCGUGCGGGAUGACGGCCUUCGGGUCGUAAACCGCUUUCGCCUGUGACGAAGCGUGAGUGACGGUAAUGGGUAAAGAAGCACCGGCUAACUACGUG